CCUACGGGAGGCAGCAGUGGGGAAUAUUGCACAAUGGGCGAAAGCCUGAUGCAGCAACGCCGCGUGAGUGAUGAAGGCCUUCGGGUUGUAAAGCUCUGUCUUUGGGGACGAUAAUGACGGUACCCAAGGGGGAAGCCACGGCUAACUACGUGCCAGCAGCCGCGGUAAU
rnacentral:rRNA from 1 species